UACGGAGGAUGCGAGCGUUAUCCGGAUUUACUGGGUGUAAAGGGUGUGUAGGCGGGGCUGCAAGUCAGAUGUGAAAAUUAUGGGCUCAACCCAUAACCUGCAUUUGAAACUAUCGUUCUUGAGUGUUGGAGAGGCAGGCGGAAUUCCGUGUGUAGCGGUGAAAUGCGUAGAUAUACGGAGGAACACCAGUGGCGAAGGCGGCCUGCUGGACAAUAACUGACGCUGAGGCGCGAAAGCGUGGGGAGCAA
rnacentral:rRNA from 1 species